UACAUGGGGUGCAAACGUUGCUCGGAAUUAUUGGGCGUAAAGCGCACGUAGGCGGUUCGUUAAGUCGGAUGUGAAAGCCCUCGGCUCAACUGAGGAAGUGCACCCGAAACUGGCGAGCUUGAGUACGAAAGAGGAUCGCGGAAUUCCCGGUGUAGAGGUGAAAUUCGUAGAUAUCGGGAGGAACACCGGUGGCGAAGGCGGCCACCUGGCUCGGUACUGACGCUCAGGUUCGAAAGCGUGGGGAGCAAACAGG
rnacentral:rRNA from 1 species